AUCUGACAUAUGAAUAUUGCAUAGGACUGAAUAUGUCGCGUAAUUGUAUGAUUGGUAGAUUUAUUUGUUUUGUCGCAAUAGCAUAGUUGUACUGUUUCUACUCUAUGUAUUUUGGUGGAUAAUCUCACCCUGGGUCAAGAAAAAAAACCCUCACCAAGAUACUGUCUUCCCUCCAGGGCGCAAGACCCCCGCCCCCCAAUGGGCCGAAUACUUCACAACAAAAUGAAAUCAGAACAUAGAUGGAAUUCAUCAUAGUGUUUCCCCCCUCUUAGGAUUGAUGUAUUUUCAUCUUGAUAUAUCAACAUGUUGUGAUAAAACUGUAAUGUUCUUAUUAAUUAUUGAUGGGUUCAUAGUAGUGUAUCAGCUGUUAGUUCCCGCGAUACAAUAUAUUUUGGUACGACAAAGCACAACAGUUUGCGAUCUUACAGUCA